UAGAUGAAUGGCUGGUUGGAGCAACUGUAUUAGAGGUGUUUUAUACCAGUGUUAUCACAAGUUGACACUAGGGGGAGCUAGUUGGCUGGAGGACACUAAUCGGCCAGGCAAUACGCCCAGCAUUCCCUCUUGUGUCGUUCCAAGAUCGUUGGCUGCUCAUUGCUUCGGACGUGUUCCUGCUGGGUCAGACUCGGUUCAGACUGAAUGUUUAACAACAGUUAGCUUUGACCCUACUGUCCGGGACUGAGGGCACCGUCGUCAGGUUCAUUGGUCAGGUUUCUGGUAAGGAGUGGAUUUCUGGACAGUUCAGCAUCUGGCAGAACACCCAUUGAAGGAUUCGUCCAUCAGGAGACUAAGAUUCCAGUUAACUGGAUGGCAAGCCAACCUAUGACAAAUUUGAGAGACCAAGAGAAGGAGGAUCGCUCCUGAAGAGGAAUUACUGCGCUCAUGGUGUGGUAGGACAGAAAGGACACACGCAUACACCUGGAUUGGGCCCCAGCGACUGAUCCUCUGACUAACACCAAAAGACUGGACUCAGACACUUCUAUUUUUUUGUCAUUUGCGCGCUUUUUUAAAAAAAAUUUUUUAUUGUACUGUUGUAAUGUUGUUGUUGUGCAACUAACCUGCACUAAUUGUCCUUAUUACAACUAUUUUGGCAAAUC